AUUCAAUAUUAUCCCAUUGUUGUUUUGAACAUAGUUACUACGUGGCAACCGGCGAGUCACCACUCACAAACGAAAAUAGUAAAACACUUCACCAAACCAACAAAUAGAAAAGGCACUUUAAUAUGAUGCGCGAAGCUACAAGAAUCUUCCAUGUUCUCUUUCUGAAGCAAGUUUGAUAUACACUGACCUCUGCACUUUCAAUUGAGCUCUGAAGAGCUGAUGAGUGAGCUAAGCUAGUUGUCAACUAAUGUCCACAUGAUGCCUAAUUUUUUAUGAAGAGAAUCCAUAACUGUACUUGGAGUUCAAAGGUAUCGACGUGAGUCUUGUGUACGACACAAAUGAGGGUUUGGUUAAUGUGUCAGAGACAAGAUGUUGUAAUACACUGGAUCAUAUAAAGGUGUCAGAUUAGCUUCGGGUCAGGAUUUAUAUAGUUGCCAGCUUAUCCUAAACCCCUUGUCUUUCAGGAUUCUAUCAACACUGUCUUUGUCUUCCAAUGAAAGCUUCGUAUGUUUAUUCAUUGUAGAGGGUAGAAAAGGUAGAGGGCAAAUGAGUGGGUAGCUGACUAAAGUCCCACAUUGUCUGUGUGCAUUAAAAAAACUAAGCCGAUCAGACAUAAAAUGAAAGGACCUUUACAUCUAAUUUUCACGAAGCCGUGUGAUAAUGACAUAGCGAACUAUUCUUUCGCCUUUUACUAAAGAAUACCGUGUCAAUGUCACAUUUAGCGGCAUGCGCUAGUUUUUGGAAGAGUCCUCUUUAUUGAGGGCUCUACAACCUUAGUUUAAGUUUACAUGUUCUUUGCCAAACAUCAUUGUUAGCAGGAUUCUGCUUUUGAUCUUUAGGUUGUGUGUUUUGUUUACUGCCGUUAACAGGUGCAGCAUGAAUUUGAGAGAUAAAUUGACGGUGAAGAUUGAUUAUGUAUUCAACUUUUCAAAAUGCAUAUUACAACUGAAGAAUGCGUUUAUAUACAAGCAUCCUGACGGGACAUCGUUUAUAUUCUUCUUUGAAAUAGUUAAAUUGAUCACCUUGUGCAAUGAAGAAUACUUAUGUUAUGAAUGUUUAGUGAAGCUGUUGCAAUUAGGAGGGGCGCUAGACUAAGGUCUACCCAAGUGGUGGAUCCUACAUCAUAAUUUGUUGCUGUGGGGACUGCGUUCUCGCAGACCCUCCUCAUUACCUUUAAAAAUCAAAAUCAUGGUUGGCUAGUACUAGGGAGUUUUUUCGGUAGUUUGACAAAGCUAUUUUUAAACAUGUUUCAUUGAAAGAAACUAAACAUAGUGGCCUCAAAAGUCAAAUUUAGACCAACUGAAGCAGAAUGAGAAUAAAACUACACAAUCUCAGUUGCAACAUAUGCAGAAUAAUUUUAGACCAACAAAGAAAUUAAAAAACAAACACAAGUAAGAGCUCAGUUGCAACAUAUGCAGAAUCUCUUGCCAAUCAGAAACAUCAAUUAAGACAAUAGAGUCAGUGAGAUGCACUUCACUAGAAAUUUCUGCUAUGGCUUUACUAAAUAAAAAUUGAAAUUCUCAUAUAUUAAUUUAUAGCUCUUUACCACACAAUUGGCAUUUAGAGUUCUAUAUCUUUUGAACUUAAACCAACCAUAUUUGCCUAUAUCUGGAAGCACAUAAAGUUCUACCAUAUCUGAGUGUUAGUGAAGAUAAAAAACCGAUUGUUCUCUGCAGUUCAUUUUAUAUUCAAAUAAAACUACUAUGUGCGUAUAAUCCCGACUUGUUCACUGUUUUAUUUAUUCUAUGAUGUUUAUUUUCACCUACGAAUUACAUGUGCAUUUGUUCCCUGCAUCAUUUCCUUUGCCGCCUAUGAGUUUUGACUUGUUUGAAUGUAUUUCUUCUGUUUACAAGCAGUUUGAUAUACACUGACAUCUGCACUUUCAAUUGAGCUCUGAAGAGCUGAUGAGUGAGCUAAGCUAGUUGUCAACUACUGUCCACACGAUACCUAUUUUUUAGGAAGAGAAUCCAUAACUGUACUUGGAGUUCAAAGGCAUCAACACGAGUCUCGUUUACAGCACGAAGGAGGGUUUGGUUAAUGUGCCAGAUUCUUGCGGAGUAAUUUUCAGACACAAGAACCUUUUCUAUUGAGGAAAAAAUCCAAUUGAUGGUAAGGAUGCUUGUAGUAUGAAUUUUGUCUAGGAUCUUGGCCAUUAACAAGCGCAGCUUGUGGAGGCAUUGUGAAACUGAAUCAGAGAGAGGGUCAAAUUGAAAGGAAUUUGAGAGAUAAAUUGACAUUGAUUAUGAUUCUUUUGCAUGCUAAAGUCAUGGGGGAUUUUGAUCAAGAAAAUGGUGUCGUCUUUAAAUACUUGCUUAAAUAAAAGAUGGAAUAUAGAGUUCUUAUUCAUGUGCUCUUCGUUGCAAGGAUUCUUUUGCAUGCCAAAGACAUGGUAGAUUUUGAUCAAGAAAAUGAUGCGGUCUUUAAAUACUUCCUUAAAUAAAAGAUGGAAUAAUCGUUUAGCUCAAUACAUCUCCUCUGUUGCAAGGUGAGUUCUUAUUCAUGUGCUCUUCUGUUUUAAGGUGAGUUCUUAUUCAUGUGCUAUGUUUGUGUUGAAAUUCCAUUGUCACUAAAUGGGUAUACUUUAGUUAUUAACUUUAGUGAAGCCAUUGUCUUUGUGCCAAUUUUUGUCAUUAGAACAAAAUAUAUUAUGGGUCAAGAUGAAACUACUUCGUCCAUGUUAUUUCUAUGGGAAU